ACUUUAAAACAGCACAAGAUUUCUACAACAGAUCGAAUACUAAAUACAAACACUAAUCAAAAGAAAAAAAGUAGCAAAAGGCAGAAAAUGGAGACGAAAGAGUAAUCACGUGGAACACCAAGUUGCAGCGAACUAAAGUGUAUAAUUAAAAAGCACACCAAAUACAAACAUGAAUCUUUUUUGGCAUCAUAACAGCUUUGACCUCAGUACCCAGUCACAAAGUUUCUAAAAUGCUGGGGAACAAAAGGACGCAGGACCUGUAUCAGCGACUUAAAAACAUGGGUGUAAAUUGGAGAAAGAACAUCUUUUUAAAAAGUGGCCUUCAAGGAACAAUAGGGCACCAUACCUCCUUAAAGAGGGCCCUCAGCUGGCCCAGGAACACAGCAGCCAAGCACUUCAGCACUUUAAGCAGGAGAGUCAGCACAUCUGAGGCUUUCUCCAAUUUAGAUUGCGGAUAGAGUAUCUGAUUUUUGUGAAUAACCUUCACAUAUUAUUUUGGAUCAAAGAAGUUAAGUAAGUUGUCUUUUUGCCAAUACUUAUUUCUAGCAUAUGCAGAUAGAUUAUACAGUACCUUGGGAUCAAGUGGAUAUGGUACUAUUUUUGUUCAUGCACUUAAUAUUUCCUGUGUCAAGAGUAAAUAUAUCUCCACUCGCUUAUAAUCCAGUGCAUGUGGUUGUCGAGUCACACUACAAUUACAGUAGUGAAUGGGGUGAGGAUCCACACACUGAAAAUCACUUACUCACAUCACUUUGUUGUAAAUUGUUCUAACUGAACUUUGGGCCAUUUCGCAUCAAUAGAUUAAUGUGGGCACCCACUUUCCUGAUGAAUCAUUUGGCAAACACACUACCUGGUACAGAACUAAAAGCACAAAAAUCAUUAAUGGUCAUUUUUAUUGCCUUGGGUUCCAUUUCCACAGUAGCUUGUUGCUGAGUCAGCCAUUGUGGUUGCUCCUCUUGUGAGGCCUUUGAGGACCUCAGCUGGAUGCAGCCUGCAAAGCAGCAGCCUCUUGUUGGUUGACUCCAGUCAUGUUACUGGAAUUGGGCCCAGGUUCAGAGUGACUGACCAGAGGGAUAGCAGACCAGAAUGCACCAAGGGACCAUCUAUGCAAGCUGGUCUGAAGGCAGAUUUGUCUCAAUUCCUUUCCAGAGGGCUCAGGGUUACACUUGCAAUGAUGUUGUUGCGAAAUGGUUGCGGAUUUCAGUAAAGCUAAUGUAAGCUCAGUAGGAAAGGAUUGCAUUUAGAUCUUAAAUCUGCAGCUGGCUCAUUUGGAAGCAUCGCUACCUCUUGUUAAAUCCCAAUCCAGGAAGUUGUAAUCACAACCUAGGUUGACGCUCCAGUGCAUUACCGAGGGAGCACUGCUUUGUCAGUUUCUGCCCUUUGGGUGGGACAUUACAGGACUUGUCUGCCUCUUCAGUAAAUUUGAUGCAGAUUUUCAAGAGAGUUCUUCCAGCUAAUCCUAGGCACCAUUCCUUCCUCAAUCAAAAUUCACAAAAACAGAUUAACUAGACAUGCAUCUCAUGGCUUUUUUGAGACAGUGCUAAGUGUAAAAUGGCUACCAUGUUUUUCUACAUAAUAAGUUAUUGCACUUCAGUAAUUUGUUGUAUGUCAGAUACUUUGAGGUUUCUUGGAAGAUGUGACUAAGGUGGUUUGUGAAUCUGAGUCUAUAUUUCCUUUGCUUUUUGCUUAGUUUCUAUCCUCAAAAAUAAAUCAGUAAAUAUUCUGAAGUUUUAUUUCUGUAACACUUUCAUAUUAAACACAAGGGCAGUAUUGGCUUGAGUGGAUAGAGGCAAAAACUAGGGUAGCUUUGGGUACCAAGAAUCUAACUUAUAAGAGAAGGUCAAGGGAAUUCAAACUCUUUUCUAAAGAAAACAAAUUCAAGUGAUUUGAUUGAAAUUUUAAACAAGUAUAUGCUGCCUCCAGACAUUGCCCAUUUAAUGAAGAACCUUGAGCCCUUUGACAGGAGAAGCAAUUAUAUAAAUGUAAAUAUUAAUUGUGAUUUUGAUUGAUAUGUGGAAAGUUGAUCCAAGCAAACUGUUCCCUCUGCUAAAGGCUUUAAAAACCGGGGAACAAGGAUUAAAAAUGAGGCUAGGAGUAAGAAGGACAGCCGGGCAAUAUUUUUCACCUAAUGCAUAAUAAAAUCAGGAAAAGGCAUUGAAGUGGAUAUUAUAAAUAGCAUCCAGUGAGUGAGAUUUCUUUCUGGCUAGAGAAGGGGUGAUGGAAAUAUAUACAGGUGGAGGUGGGUUUGAUCUAUCAAAAAGGACAGGCUUCUGAGUUUGUGGGCUGUUCUUGUACUGGAAGUUUCUUUAGUAAAGAUGAAGUAUGAAAUUGCAGUUUGUUGAUCACCAUACACCACCAACAGCAACCCUACCACCCCAUCCCACACCUCUCCGUCCCGUGACUAGGUGAAGAGUUGAAAUAAUUCCUUUCCUGCAGAAACUACUUUGUUUGCCUGAGCAGUGCAGCUUUGCUCUGAACAAUGGAAAGGGGCGACACAGCACAAGCUUGAAAUCAGUGAGUUAAAUGUUGUAUAAAAUCACAUAGUGUUAGCUCUUAUUGCACAGCAUGGCUGGAAUUAAUUUACCAAAAGUAACCAGUCAAUUCCCCCAUAAAUGCUCAUUUGGGUGAUAGCACGGUUGUGCUGUUCAUUGCUAACAUGGAACUGUGUUUAACUGGACUGCCCA